rnacentral:rRNA from 1 species
CAGUCGCCGCGGGAAUACAGAGGGUGCGAGCGUUAAUCGGAUUUACUGGGCGUAAAGCGUGCGUAGGCGGCUAAUUGAGUCGGAUGUGAAAUCCCCGAGCUUAACUUGGGAAUUGCAUUCGAUACUGGUUAGCUAGAGUGUGGGAGAGGAUGGUAGAAUUCCAGGUGUAGCGGUGAAAUGCGUAGAGAUCUGGAGGAAUACCGAUGGCGAAGGCAGCCAUCUGGCCUAACACUGACGCUGAGGUACGAAAGCAUGGGGAGCAAACAGGAUUAGAUACCCCCGUAGUCCCUGUCUCUUAUAA